GUUUUCAAACUUUUUAACACUACGAUGUAUAGCUGGGUUUAAUUUGCUUAUCUCGCGGGGGUCUACGUCUUCUGAUCGCUUCUAUAGGAAAUUUCUAUCGAGAGUUCUUCCGGGUUUUGGUGAUCUGUUCCUUUUGUAAAUCUUUCUGGGCUUUUGGUGUUUAGUUUUCAACAAAACCCUUGACAAAUUAGUUUUUAUCCAGUUUCCUUUCGAUUCUGGGUCCUCACAGUUUCUAGUUAAGUUGUAACCGUUCCUUCCUAAUUUUAACUUCAUUACUUCUCGAGCCAAAGCAUAAGCGCGCGUUUUCGGAAAUUUCCCUAGAACAUGAGGAGAUGGUGAGAGGGAAGAUUCAGUUGAAGCGAAUCGAAAACGCGACUAGCAGGCAAGUCACCUUCUCGAAGCGCCGAAAUGGGCUGCUGAAGAAGGCUUACGAGCUCUCAGUUCUUUGCGAGGUCGAAGUCGCCGCGAUCAUCUUUUCACAGAAAGGCAGGCUCUAUGAGUUUUCAAGCUCUGACAUACAAAUGAUUAUAGAGAGAUACCGUAACCGUACAAAAGGUGGGCAACUCAACAACAUUGCAGAGGAACAAUAUAUACAGCAAUUGCGAAGCGAAACUGCCAUCAUGGAAAAGAAGAUUGGACUUCUUGAUGUUUCUCAAAGGCAACUUUUUGGAUAUGGUUUAAGUUUUUGCAAUUCUGAAGAACUUCAAGAGAUGGAGAACCAGCUGGUGCGAAGCUUACACCGGAUCAGGGAAAGAAAGGCUCGGAUAUUGAUGGAUCGCAUAAAGCAUCUAAAGGAAAAGGAGAGACUCAUUUUAGAAGAGAAGGCAAGGAUUAGCGGAAAGGCAUUGCUUAGUUCAUUGCCACCUGAGGAUUACAAUAAUGGGUUGUUGGUGUUAUGAGGUGAUAGGCGCUAUUUCAAUCGAGAAGCUGCACAGAUUAAUGAAAUAAAGUUGGGAUACAUUCUGGACAUUGACCUAUCUCGUCCUGGAGUUACUAAAUAUGGGAACUUCAGUGUUGUAGUAGACCCAAUUUCUGACUAUUUGGAGACUGGAGGUAUGUUGUCCUCAAUCUAACUGGGUCAUAUAUUCAGUUGGUUCUAUUUGGGGAGUCAGUUACUCUUCAACUGCUCCUCCCUGUCUUUUAUUGUUUCCUUAACCCGAGAAUUAAGGCUAUCCAUUUGACCAGCCAGUGAUGGAGAAAGUUGAAGCUUCUGUGGAAACUUAAAGCUAUGUCUGUGUGGUGGCCUUCAAUAAAAUUUGGCAACUGACCUUUUCACUUAUUCAUGCUUUUCGUUAUUCCAUUCCUUUUUAAUUGUUGUUGUUAUGGCCUUCAGAUUUUGUUAUGCCAACGAAAAAACCUUACUUUUCAAUGUAUGGUUUAGCACAAGUUUUCAUAGUUA